GCUCUCCAACUACAGUCUAUUCUCCAUAAUCAUUACAAGAACUGGCUUAAAAGAACAAGAAUUAUAUUUAAUCAGGGCUGAAGUGCUUGGUUUUGCACAAGCUUUAUCUAAAUAUCACACAGUCGCUAUAGUACCAGACAGAUCCUUCUGGGCAUUCAGUAACCCCAUGCAGAGGCUAUACUACCGUGGUCAGAGUGACGAAAAGGCAGAAUCUUUCCACCUUGCCCUCCAAAGUCAAUUAGGUUUUGGGAUUGUAGGGUGUCUCUCAAAUGUUAACUGUGGAGAGUCUCCUAUUCCUUUGUUCAGGACUAUGGACACCCCACAUGGUGAGCUCUACCCAGUGUCCAGUCUACAAAAAGGAGGGUUAAUACAGAGGAAAAAUGUGUUCCAUGCUUCCAAGCAAAGCCCUUGACUUGUUCUCACAUAGAUGGAAAAACUAGUACAAGGAGCCUAGAGGAGCCAGAGGUUCCUCUCAAGCCUGUGACCCCUGGGGAGCAGAUCCCCAAUGGUCUUGACAGUGAAACGAACAAAAAAUAUGAUUGACUGUGGCCCACCAAUUGUCCUGAACACCCAGCAGGAACGUAUAGCCAAGAAAUAGGAUGUCAGCAUGUCUCUUUAACAGUUUAAGGCAGUAGUUCUCAACCUGUGGGUCGCAACCAUUGGAAAAUACUUAUUUCAGAUGGUCUUAGGAACCAUGACACCGCUCAGUAGCAAAAUUAGUUAUGAAGUAGCAAUGAAAAUAAAUUUAUGGUUGGAGGGUCCUAAGACCAUUGGGGAUGUGUUUCCUGGUGGUCAUGACCCACAGGUUGAAAGCCGCUGGCUUAAGGGCAUCACACUUACUGCACAUUAGGCUUAGGUCCAUAUGAGAUGUUUACACUGUUUCUAACAACUUUCUUUUUACUAAGAAAAAUGUUGCCAUGAUAGAGCACCACACUCUUGCCUGAAGUCCUCCAUUCAAUACUGCAACACUCACCUGUAGCCAAGAGGCAGGUCUGAAUAAGAAAAAACUAGAAAAGAUCCAAUGACAGUUAAAUUUCUUAUUUCUGCCUCUCUAGAAGCUGCCUGGGAGGGACCUCAAAGUGAGUCUAUCCACUCCGACAGCCCUGAAAUGCCUGAAAACAGAUCCUGGGCUUACCACUCUGGGCCAGGCAUGGAUGUGGGACUUUCCUGGGAAUGGUUGCUCUACAAUGUAGGGAUGCCAGAGUGCAGGAAUGCCAGCCCCUCCAGUGACCCCAAUCUACAGCUGAUGCAACAGGGUCCUCUCCACAGCAACCACACUGAAGAAAUGCUGGGUAGAUGCACGGCUGAGGAACACGACGCAAGGCCACAGCAUUCUUCCACUCUGAAGCAAGGGAACCAAUUCCUUCAAGUUUGAUGUUGCUGUACCAACUACCUGAGGGGGCAUUAUGGACCACCAGAAGACAAGACAAAAAUUGGGAUUCUUUUUUUUUCUUUGAGACAGGGUCUCUCU